rnacentral:rRNA from 1 species
AUACGUAGGUGGCGAGCGUUGUCCGGAAUUACUGGGUGUAAAGGGUGCGCAGGCGGGCCUGCAAGUUGGGUGUGAAGAACCGUGGCUCAACCACGGGGGGACAUUCAAAACUGCGGGUCUUGAGUGAGGUAGAGGCAGGCGGAAUUCCCGGUGUAGCGGUGAAAUGCAUAGAGAUCGGGAGGAACACCAGUGGCGAAGGCGGCCUGCUGGGCCUUAACUGACGCUGAGGCACGAAAGCAUGGGUAGCAAACAGGAUUAGAUACCCUGGUAGUCCAUGCCGUAAACGAUGAUUGCUAGGUGUGGGGGGACUGACCCCUUCCGUGCCGGAGUCAACACAAUAAGCAAUCCACCUGGGGAGUACGGCCGCAAGGUUGAA